rfam:Otolemur garnettii contig100558, whole genome shotgun sequence.
CUGUGUCUUGCUUCAACAGUGUUUGAACGGAGCAG